rnacentral:rRNA from 1 species
AUUCCAGCUCCAAUAGCGUAUAUUAAAGUUGUUGCAGUUAAAAAGCUCGUAGUCGGAUUUCGGGUCGGGCCGAGCGGUCUGCCGAUGGGUAUGCACUGUUUGGCGCGGCCUUCUUUCCGGAGACCGCGGCUACUCUUAACUGAGCGGGCGUGGGAGACGGAUCGUUUACUUUGAAAAAAUCAGAGUGUUUCUAGCAGGCAGCUCGCUCUUGCAUAGGUUAGCAUGGGAUAAUUUAAUAGGACUCUGGUGCUAUUUUGUUGGUUUCGAACACCGGAGUAAUGAUUAAAAGGGGCAGUCAGGGGCACUCGUAUUCCGUCGAGAGAGGUGAAAUUCUCAGACCAAUGGAAGACGAACCACUGCGAAAGCAUUUGCCAGGGAUGUUUUCAUCA